GAUGAGAAGGUUCAUUAUUAGGUGCUGAGCGCUGUGCAUUGUUGUAAAUCAUGAAUUCAUCGAUAUACUGUUACAUAUGCUGUGGAAUAGUUUAUUCCAUGGAGUUCUGGAAGUUGUGCUCAGAGUCCUUAUAACUCCGGAAUUCAUUUUGCACGCACAGGACAUCUGCUGAUUUUGCAGAAAGGGUCCUGGGAAGCUUCUCAAAAUUUAGAAGGCUCCUUAUGCAAGACGUAGGGGUGUGUUAAUGAGCUACCCCUUUUCUAUCCUCCCGAUAUUCUAGAUGGCUUAACCUAUUUCUGUUCUCUCUUUGUUAGCUUAUACCU
rnacentral:misc_RNA from 1 species